rnacentral:lncRNA from 1 species
CGACAUCUUUCGAGGCAAUUCUUAAGCCCUCGCUUAUUUAGGCUGGCAGGCAUAUUUUCUGAGGCAGUUCGUAAGUAUUUACAUAUGGGAGCUACUUAUAUUUUCUGAGGCAAUUCGUAGGACCUCGUCUUCUUGAUUACUUAUAUUUCGAAGUCCGACUCACACAUGAAUGAACAAAUUAGACGUGAUAGACUAUUGUUAUAUCGAUAAAUCAUUUCAUAUUGGGCUUAUUCAUUGGACGUGGCUUGGACGAGGCUCAUUAGCUCACCAAGUCCACCAGACCCGUCUUUAUUUUCCAUAUAUAUGAUAAUCCAUUUCAUUUUCAGGUAUGUUCACAACCCUAGCCAAUUUACCCUCCCGAC